GAUGAACGCUAGCGGCAGGCCUAAUACAUGCAAGUCGAACGGGAUCCAGAUCAAAGCUUGCUUUGGCCUGGUGAGAGUGGCGCACGGGUGCGUAACGCGUGAGCAACCUACCCUUGUCAGGGGGAUAGCCCGGCGAAAGUCGGAUUAAUACCGCAUGACAUCAUUGAGAGGCAUCUUUCGAUGAUCAAAGAUUUAUCGGACAAGGAUGGGCUCGCGUGACAUUAGCUAGUUGGUAAGGUAACGGCUUACCAAGGCUGCGAUGUCUAGGGGCUCUGAGAGGAGAAUCCCCCACACUGGUACUGAGACACGGACCAGACUCCUACGGGAGGCAGCAGUAAGGAAUAUUGGUAAAUGGACGGAAGUCUGAACCAGCCAUGCCGCGUGCAGGAAGACGGCCCUAUGGGUUGUAAACUGCUUUUAUACGGGAACAAACGUCGGUACGUGUACCGGUCUGAGUGUACCGUAAGAAUAAGGAUCGGCUAACUCCGUG
rnacentral:rRNA from 1 species